GACGAACGCUGGCGGCGUGCUUAACACAUGCAAGUCGAACGGAAAGGCCCUGCUUUUGUCGGGUGCUCGCGUGGCGAACGUGUGAGUAACACGUGAGUAACCUGCCCUUGACUUUGUGAUAACUUCAGGAAACUGGGGCUAAUACCGGCUAGGAGCUCCUGAUGCAUGGUGGGGGUUGGAAAGUUUCGGCGGUUGGGGAUGGACUCCCGGCUUAUCAGCUUGUUGGUGGGGUAGUUGCUUACCAAGGCAUUGACGGGUAGCCGGCCUGGGAGGGUGACCGGCCACAUGGGGACUGAGAUACGGACCAGACUCGUACGGGAGGCAGCAGUGGGGAACAUUGCACAAUGGGCGGAAGCCUGAGGCAGCAACGCAGGGAGCGGGAUGACGGCUUUCGUGUUGUAAACCGCUGUAACCUGUGACGUUGCGUGAGUGACGGUAAUGAGUAAAGAAGCACCGGCUAACUACGUG
rnacentral:rRNA from 1 species